rnacentral:rRNA from 1 species
AUUGAACGCUGGCGGCAGGCCUAACACAUGCAAGUCGAGCGGAUGAAGGGAGCUUGCUCCUGGAUUCAGCGGCGGACGGGUGAGUAAUGCCUAGGAAUCUGCCUGGUAGUGGGGGAUAACGUCCGGAAACGGGCGCUAAUACCGCAUACGUCCUGAGGGAGAAAGUGGGGGAUCUUCGGACCUCACGCUAUCAGAUGAGCCUAGGUCGGAUUAGCUAGUUGGUGGGGUAAAGGCCUACCAAGGCGACGAUCCGUAACUGGUCUGAGAGGAUGAUCAGUCACACUGGAACUGAGACACGGUCCAGACUCCUACGGGAGGCAGCAGUGGGGAAUAUUGGACAAUGGGCGAAAGCCUGAUCCAGCCAUGCCGCGUGUGUGAAGAAGGUCUUCGGAUUGUAAAGCACUUUAAGUUGGGAGGAAGGGCAGUAAGUUAAUACCUUGCUGUUUUGACGUUACCAACAGAAUAAGCACCGGCUAACUUCGUGCCAGCAGCCGCGGUAAUACGAAGGGUGCAAGCGUUAAUCGGAAUUACUG